rnacentral:lncRNA from 1 species
UCAGAUAAAACCCUAAGUCUAGGUGUUGGUUGCAUAUAGAUCCUUUUCCAUGAUUAGUUGAUGGUUAAAUGUGAGCAUUAAGGACCGUCAACACUCACCAUUCUUCCAAUUCUCAUAGUUGCAUUCUUCUAUAAUCUCCAGCAACAUCUAGGUUCAUAUUCCAUGUCUUUAUGGCCCAGUGUGCUUUGAACUCUAGUUCAACAGGUAGGUGGCAAGUCUUCCCGUACACCAAUUGGUAUGGAGACAUUCCAAUUGGAGUCCUGUAUGCUGUCCGGUAUGCCCAGAGUGCAUCGGGUAACUUGUCUUUCCAUGCCGUUCCCAUUUCAUUUACUGUCUUCUAAAGAAUAUUCUUGAUUUGUUUGUUGGAACUCUCUGCUUGGCCACUUGUCUGAGGAUGAUAGGGGGUAGCGACGUUGUGACGGAUUCCAUGUUUUGAUAGAUAUUGCUUGAAGCGUUUAUCGAUGAAGUGUGCUCCUCCAUCACUUAUCACUACUCUGGGAACUCCAAAUCUUGGAAAUAUAAUUCUUCAAACAUCCUCUUUGAACUGAUGUUGUCAGCAUGCUUGCAAGGUAAUGCCUCUACCCACUUGGAGACGUAGUCAACUGCCACCAAGAUGUACUCACACUUCUUUGAUGGAGGAAAUGGACCCAUAUAGUCUAUUCCCCAGACAUCAAAGAGCUCAAUCUGAAGGUUGUUGGUGAGUGGCAUUGCAUCCCUUGUAUUUAUGUUUCCGUGACUUUGACAUGGCCCAUAUCUUCUGAUAUAUUGCUUCGUGUCUUCAUACAUUGUAGGCCAGUAGAAUCCACACUGCUAGAUCUUUGAAUGUGUAUGGAAUGCUCCAUAGUGACCUCCAUAUGGUGAUGAAUGACAUCUGUCGAUGAUCUUCCAUCCUUCCUUAGUGGUGACACAUCUCCUGAGUAAGCCAUCAGAGCAUACUCGGAAGAGGUAUGGCUCAUCCCAUAUAUGUGAACGACAUUCUUGAAUAAGCUUCUUCUUGUUUGCUCCUGGCGGUACAUACCCUGAAACCAUAAAAUUAACAAUAUCUGCAUACCAGGGGUCAGACCUGUUAAUCCCGUAGAGCAUGUCAUCCCGGAGUGAAUCAUUGAUGGUGGUUUCCUGUGGAUUCUUAAAAUACAUUCUAGACAAGUGAUCUACAACAAAAUUUUCUACUCCCUUUUUAUCUUUUAUUUCUAAGUCAAAUUCUUGGAGUAAGAAGAUCCAUCUAAUCAGGCGAGGUUUAGCAUCUUUUUAGUGAGCAAAUAUUUUAGUGCAGCAUGAUCAGUGUAAACAAUUAUUUUAGCUCCAACUAAAUAAGAUCUAAAUUUAUCAAUGGCAAAGACAACAGCCAGAAGCACUUUUUCAGUGGUUGCAUAGUUAAGUUGAGCUCCUGUCAAAGUUUUACUGGCAUAAGCAAUUGCAUGAUGCUUCUUAUUUUUAGUUUGUCCCAAAACUGCCCCCACAGCAUAAUCACUAGCAUCACACAUAAUUUCAAAAGGCAACGACCUAUCAGGGGGUUGAAUGAUUGGUGCAGAGAUGAGUGCUUUCUUUAAUAAAUUGAAAGAUGUUAGACAUGCAUCAUCAAAUUCGAAAGGAGCAUCCUUGGCUAGCAAAAGAGUAAGUGGUCUAGCAAUGAAUGAAAAACCUUUUAUGAAUCUACGAUAAAAACCAGCAUGGCCAAGAAAGCUUCGAAUUCCUUUUAUAUUCACAGGUGGAGGUAGUUGUUCAAUUACUUCAAUUUUAGCUUUGUCUACCUCAAUACCUCUUUCAGACACUAGGUGUCCCAGCACUAUUCCUUCCCUAAACAUGAAAUGACAUUUUUCCCAAUUUAGGACUAAGUGGUUUUCUUCACAUCUUUGCAAAACCUUGUCUAUGUUUUCAAGACAACUAUCAAAAGUUUUUCCAUAUACAGAGAAAUCAUCCAUGAAAACUUCCAUAAUCUCUUCAAUCAUAUCAGAAAAUAUAGACAUCAUGCAUCUUUGAAAAGAAGCUGGUGCAUUACAUAACCUAAAAGACAUUCUUCGGUAAGCAUAAGUUCCAUAUGGGUAUGUAAAAGUGGUUUUGCUUUGAUCAUCAGGAUGGAUCGGGAUCUGAUGAUACUCUGAAUAUCCAUCUAAGAAACAGAAGAACGAAUGGUUCGCUAAUCGCUCUAGCAUCUCAUCUAUGAAAGGUAAAGGAAAAUGAUCCUUUCUUGUGGCUUUGUUCAGUUUUCUAUAAUCUAUGCACAUCCGCCAUCCUUUGACGGUGCGUUGCGGAAUUAGCUCGUUCUUUUCAUUCAUAAUAAUAGUCAUGCCUCCCUUUUUAGGCACAACUUGUACUGGGCUCACCCACUCACUAUGCGGCACAGGAUAUAUAAUCCCUGCAUCCAGCAACUUUAUAACUUCCUUUUUAACUACCUCUCUCGUAGUGUUGUUAAGUCUACGUUGGGGUUCUCGAGAAGGUGAAACAGAAGGAUCUGUCGAAAUACGAAGGGUACAAAUCAUAUGACUGAUUCCUGUAAGAUCUUGGAGUGAGUAGCCAAAAACUGAGUGAUGUUUCUCAAGAAUGGUCAUUAAUCGCAGAGUUUGCUCCUGAGUGAGUUUAUUACUAAUGAUCAUGGAAACUCUGGAUUAUUGUUUAGGAAAGCAUAGAUUAGACCGGGUGGUAAAGUUUUAAGCUCUAUGGGAGGUCUAGGUGUUUCUGCAAACUCAUCUAAGGGUUCAGGUUCAGAAGGUUCGGCCUCCUCUUCUGUGAAGAAAGGAGCUUCUUCUUCUAAGUCUGAUUCAUCUAAAAGCUCUAGAGAUGCAGCCUUUACCUCCUCCAUAGGAUCAGGCAAAAGAUAUGACUCAGCCUUAUUGUUUAAGGAAUGUGAAAUUGUUAUUGGGAUUUUAAAGGUUUUCCCAAAAGAAAUGUGUAGCUUUCCAGUAUGACCUUCAUAAAGGAGUCUUCUAAAAGGUUGUCCUAUCAACAGGUCAAAGUCCCGUGUAUCAAAGAUAUAGAAGUUCAAAUGAACCAUGGAGACUUCUACCGUAAGAGGUAGGACAUUAAUAAUUCCAAGACUGGGGACUAAUCGUCCUGAAGAUUCCUUUAUGACCUUUGUUGUGGGGGUUAAGACAAGAUUUUUAAAUAGUUUAAGUGCAAAAGAUUUAGACAUGAUGUUGAUCCCCACAACAGGAUUAUAGAGAGCAUCAAAUCGAUCAGAAUUAUAAGCACAACGUAUAGUUAUAGAAGGUGUGUCCAAACGGAUCACAUCAGAGGAAAGCUCUGAUUCCUCCAACCACUCGCUACUCAUGACUGAGAUACGCUCUCUUAAUUGAUAUUAACUUGGCAAACAAAUGCUAAGAUGGCUGUUUUGGGGUAUGUUAGUAGAAUGGUAGUUUUAAAUGUUUCCAAAAUCGGCAAAAAGAUCAGAUUCUAUAUCCAGCAUGAAGUCCGGUGGUGGAAUUUCUUCCUCUUGUGGCUCAGAACUUGGGAUAGCUAAAGUAGAUGAAGAAUUUGGCAGAGUGUCUACUUCGGCUUCGUAGGUUUCAUCAUGAAGGGUAUUAUCCAUCUCAGCUUCUAGGAUUCUAUCUAAGAUCACUAUAGCUUCAUCACUAGGGAUACGAAAGAAAGAACCUCUAGACAUUGCAUGUAGCAUUUGUUUAUGAUUUUUCUGAAGACCUCGAAAAAAGUAAAAUAAAAGAACAGGGUCUUCAAGAUUAAGGUUUGGACUAGAUUCUAAAAGAUCAGAAAAAUGUUUCCAGGAUUUUCCCAAAGUUUCAUUAUCUUUUUGUUUAAAAGAUAUGACUUCGAGUCUAUGGUCGCCGAUACGGUCAAGGGAAUAAAAAUCUAGACAAAAGUUGGCUCGUAAAACUCCCCAUACACCUCGUUGUUGACUUACCUUCUGACUGUACCAUUGUCUAGCUUCUCCCCUUAUGGAAAAAGGAAAAAGCUUCCAACGUAAAGUUUUAUCAGAAAUGCCUUCAAUGCGAAGACAAUCACAUGUUUGCUCAAAAUCUCUAAUAUGAAGGUAAGGGUUUUCGUCUUCCUUUCCCGAAAAAGAUAGGUUUUGAAUCAUGGCAAUCAACCUAGAACUUAACCUAUACUGGGAUGUUUGGAUAGGCUGUGAUGACUCCCAUGGUAAAAGGUCAGUUUCCGAAGGUGUUGCAAAUUGGUAGAUUGAUUUAGAAUCUUGGUUUUCCAUAAGGUAAGAGUAAAGAAAAUAAAUACAGAAUAUAAAAGAUAAGAAAAGAUAAAAGUAUAGAUACAAGCCAGUAGUAAGACUCAAGGUUAUCUCAGCAAACCAUCUUUCUCCCCGGCAACGGCGCCAGAAAUGCUUGUUGAUAUUUGGGAACGCAAUAAGGAAUUGAUCCGCAAGUGCACUGAUAUCGGUGAGCACUUCACCCGGGAGAUUAUCCAGAGUAUCGUAUUUAUUUUUUUACCACUAGGAGAAAGAGUGCAUCUGACUAACCCGAUCUAUUACUACUAACCCUUUAGGCAACAAAGAAUGUUUCUCGAUGUGAGUGAUAAAUAGAGAAGACUACAACCGUAAUCUCCUUCUAACCUUGGUAAGGAUGAUCUACUGUUCUAUUGGGGAGGCUAACGGAAUCUAGACACCACAGAGGAUGUUCAACCCGCACCUAUAAACCCUAUCCUUCCUGCUAACGAGAUAUGGUCUGCAAAGGUAACUUGGAAUUGUCACGUUCCUCGCUACUACCACGGUCUAGCUAGUCAGGGAAUAUCUAUGAGUAUCCUAGCCUAAACACCACGUCUACGCUAGAGAUGAUUACUCUAAACUCUACAUGAAGAGAUUAAAGUAAACUCAUGAACCAAAAGAACAAUAAAACAAGAACUUACUAGAAUUUAGAAGUCGAAAUACUGAAGAAUCCUAGGAGCAAGCCUCGGGUUAGGAGAACUUGAUCCCGCAGGUACAAAGUUGGAGUAGACACCGACAGGCCGGGCUUCCUCCGAUCUACACCUCCACUCUAUCUCUCUCAAUCUAGUAGAAACUAGAAGAUAUAUUUCUACUCACAUUGGUUGCUAAGCCUAAAAAGAAAUUUUGUUUAGAGGAGAGGUAUUCCUUCGAGGGCUCCUCUCAACUCUAUGAGAAACUUGUCUCCUCCAGGGGCCAGGGGGUCUGGGUUUAUAGUCCCCUCAAGUGAACGUGAGUCGUUGGAUCAAACCGACAUUGAUUGGACGAUUAUCCUUGAUCCUUUAGGUCGGUGGAGCGUCGUCCGCGAAAAGAGUCCCGAACCAAGUCCAGGAGGGGGCGGGCGCCCAGGUCAACUGGGCGGGCGCCCAGUGCCUGGCCUCGUUCGGCCUCUACUUCCUUCCCAUGGCUUCUGGAGUCAUCUAGAUGGUAGACAAUUGCGCGGUGCGUUGUUAUCUCUAUGUUAUCCCGACAUGUGGGCCUUUCUUCCUUAUUUCCUGAUAACCCCCUGCAGAAACCGAUAAACAACAAAACUCGUAGAAUUCUGUCAGAUCAAACCCUAAUUCUAGGUGUUGGUUGCAUAUUGGUCCUUUCUCUUGUUUGUUUGAUAAUUAAAAUUGAUACUUAAGAACCGUCAACACCAACCAAAAAUAUUCUACUCCUAAUCCGGGAGAGAAUAGCCAAAAAUAUUUCUGUUUUUCCCUUGUGAAAUAAAUGCUCAAGUUAUCUUGUUACUACUACUUGCUAUAUUAUCUCAAGAGAUGAGUGCUCUAAAAAACAGAAAAAAAAGAAAAAAAGAGAUACGAGGAAAUAAAAAGUGGCAAGUGCCCGAAACCUCGAAAGAAAAGAAAAAGUGAGACAAGAGGUAAAAAUGGACAAGUGUUCGACAGUAGAAUUAGGGGUACAAGAUACCCACCAGAGAGGAAAGAAAAAAUAGAGCAUCUCAUUCUCCUCACAAAGUUUCAAAAAGCAAGAAAGGUAUGUGUCCCCUCAAAAGAGCAAAAGUAGAAUUAGACUUUCACCAUUGUUAUCACCAUCAUCACCAUACGCCAUUCAUUCGCCACACAUGCACAUCUUGAUUUGACUUAUUGAUUUGUUUCUUUGGAUCCAUGGUUUGACUAUACAAUAAAUGUCUUGUGAGU